rnacentral:rRNA from 1 species
UACGGGAGGCAGCAGUGGGGAAUAUUGCACAAUAGGCGCAAGCCUGAUGCAGCCAUGCCGCGUGUAUGAAGAAGGCCUUCGGGUUGUAAAGUACUUUCAGUCGUGAGGAAGGUGUUAAGGUUAAUAACCUUAGCAAUUGACGUUAGCGACAGAAGAAGCACCGGCUAACUCCGUGCCAGCAGCCGCGGUAAUACGGAGGGUGCGAGCGUUAAUCGGAAUUACUGGGCGUAAAGGGCACGCAGGCGGUUAAUUAAGUUGGAUGUGAAAUCCCCGGGCUUAACCUGGGAAUGGCAUUCAAGACUGGUUAGCUAGAGUCUUGUAGAGGGGGUGAAUUCCAUGUGUAGCGGUGAAAUGCGUAGAGAUGUGGAGGAAUACCGGUGGCGAAGGCGGCCCCUGGACAAAGGCUGACGCUCAUGUGCGAAAGCGUGGGGAGCGAAACAGGGAUUAGAUACC